GGCGGACGGNUUAUUAACACGUGGGAAUCUGCCCAUUAGUGGGGGAUAACUCGGGGAAACUCGAGCUAAUACCGCAUAAUCCCUACGGGGGAAAGCAGGGGAUCUUCGGACCUUGCGCUGAUGGAUGAGCCCGCGUCGGAUUAGCUUGUUGGUGGGGUAAUGGCCCACCAAGGCGACGAUCCGUAACUGGUCUGAGAGGAUGGCCAGUCACACCGGGACUGAGACACGGCCCGGACUCCUACGGGAGGCAGCAGUGGGGAAUCUUGGACAAUGGGCGCAAGCCUGAUCCAGCCAUGCCGCGUGUGUGAAGAAGGCCUUCGGGUCGUAAAGCACUUUCAGUAGGGAGGAAGGCUUCGGGUUAAUACCCUGGAGUACUUGACGUUACCUACAGAAGAAGCACCGGCUAAUUUCGUGCCAGCAGCCGCGGUAAUACGAAAGGUGCGAGCGUUAAUCGGAAUUACUGGGCGUAAAGCGCGCGUAGGCGGUGUGUUAAGUCGGAUGUGAAAGCCCAGG
rnacentral:rRNA from 2 species